rnacentral:sRNA from 1 species
UGUCUGUCACGUUGUGAUGCUAGCCUG